rnacentral:rRNA from 1 species
AACGAACGCUGGCGGCGCGCCUAAUACAUGCAAGUCGAGCGAGAAGACGUAGCAAUACGUUUGUAAAGCGGCGAACGGGUGAGGAAUACAUGGGUAACCUACCCUCGAGUGGGGAGUAACUAGCCGAAAGGUUAGCUAAUACCGCGUACGCUCCUUGGACUUCGGUUCAGGGAGGAAAGCGAUACCGUGGGUAUCGCGCUCUUGGAUGGGCUCAUGUCCUAUCAGCUUGUUGGUGAGGUAACGGCUCACCAAGGCUUCGACGGGUAGCUGGUCUGAGAGGACGAUCAGCCACACUGGCACUGCGACACGGGCCAGACUCCUACGGGAGGCAGCAGUAAGGAAUAUUGCGCAAUGGGCGAAAGCCUGACGCAGCGACGCCGCGUGGGUGAUGAAGGCCUU